UACGUAGGGCGCGAGCGUUGCCCGGAAUUAUUGGGCGUAAAGAGCUCGUAGGCGGUUUGUUGCGUCGGCUGUGAAAUCCCGAGGCUCAACCUCGGGUCUGCAGUCGAUACGAGCAAACUAGAGUGUUGCAGGGGAGACUGGAAUUCCUGGUGUAGCGGUGAAAUGCGCAGAUAUCAGGAGGAACACCGGUGGCGAAGGCGGGUCUCUGGGCAACAACUGACGCUGAGGAGCGAAAGCGUGGGGAGCGAACAGG
rnacentral:rRNA from 1 species